AUUGAACGCUAGCGGGAGGCCUAACACAUGCAAGUCGAACGAGUGGCGGACGGGUGAGUAAUGUAUCGGAACCUGCCCGAUAGCGGGGGAUAACUACUGGAAACGGUGGCUAAUACCGCAUACUAUUGGAUCGGCCCAGAUGGGAUUAGCUAGUUGGUGGGGUAAAGGCUCACCAAGGCAACGAUCCCUAGCUGGUCUGAGAGGAUGACCAGCCACACUGGGACUGAGACACGGUCCAGACUCCUACGGGAGGCAGCAGUGGGGAAUAUUGGACAAUGGGCGAAAGCCUGAUGCAGCCAUGCCGCGUGUAUGAAGAAGGCCUUCGGGUUGUAAAGUACUUUCGGCAGGGAGGCGGUACCUGCAGAAGAAGCACCGGCUAACUACGUGCCAGCCGCCGCGGUAAUUC
rnacentral:rRNA from 1 species